CUUGAUCGACCCGAGCCAGACCGGACGGUCGGCCGGGUGACCCUGGCCGUACGUGGCGAGCAGCGCGUUGGCCUC
rnacentral:antisense_RNA from 1 species